GACGAACGCUGGCGGCGUGCUUAACACAUGCAAGUCGAACGGAAAGGCCCUGCUUUUGUGGGGUGCUCGAGUGGCGAACGGGUGAGUAACACGUGAGUAACCUGCCCUUGACUUUGGGAUAACUUCAGGAAACUGGGGCUAAUACCGGAUAGGUGCUCCUGCUGCAUGGUGGGGGUUGGAAAGUUUCGGCGGUUGGGGAUGGACUCGCGGCUUAUCAGCUUGUUGGUGGGGUAGUGGCUUACCAAGGCUUUGACGGGUAGCCGGCCUGAGAGGGUGACCGGCCACAUUGGGACUGAGAUACGGCCCAGACUCCUACGGGAGGCAGCAGUGGGGAAUAUUGCACUAUGGGCGGAAGCCUGAUGCAGCAACGCCGCGUGCGGGAUGACGGCCUUCGGGUUGUAAACCGCUUUCGCCUGUGACGAAGCGUGAGUGACGGUAAUGGGUAAAGAAGCACCGGCUAACUACGUG
rnacentral:rRNA from 1 species